UUUUAUUGAUGUCAGAAUAUAUGGCUCUGGAUAUAAGUUAAUUUAUACUGGGUUUGUUUUUUGAUUCAUGGUGUUUUAGUUCAGUGGAUUUUGAUGAUUGAAAUUUUGAUAAUUUUGUACUUGAAAUGGGGGUUUGUGUGGAUUUAUGUUCUGUGUUUGUGUUGGAUUUUGAAUUGGUGUUGUUUUAUGAUGUUACAAUUGUGCUUUGGGUAUCUAAUUUGAUUAAUUUUAUGAACGACAUUUAGAAAUGAAGGAAUGAGAAGUCAGAACGAUAAUGCCCGGCAUUUAGAAAUGUGCAGUCUCAUCCUUUCAUUUGCAUAAUGCUGGUGUUACUAUGUGGUACUAUUGGCGUUCAUCGUGGGUUUAUGUUGAAUUUUGUGUUUACGCCUUUUCGAUGUCAUAACCGGGUUUUUAAUUUAUACCUAUCUGCACUGGUUCUUAAACUGACAUUUGCAAACUAAGCGGUGGUAAAGAUGAAAAGUUGGGUUUAUUGUUUGCUGUUGUAAUUGUGCUUUCUUUUUACCUGUUUGCACUGGGUUGAGAAUGCAAAACGCUAGGGGUAACGAGGAAAAGUUUCCCUGCUUGUACAACUACAAUCUCAUCCUUCCCUUUUGCCUGAUGCUGGUGUUAUCAGAAAGAUCGUCAAACCUGGCUUGCCACUCUUCGACUCUGAUCGAAAAAUGCGUGGAGUAUAGGAAGCUGCAAGCAAUGGGGAAAUGAAUAUCAACCCAUAUGCAAUAACAGACUCAAUACCCUGCACAGGUCCGCAAUUGUAUCCGAAAGCAAUGCAAGUCAUUGUUGGAAGACCAGUGCAAACAAUACUCACAGACAACUAUUGCACCGAAGAUUAUUUUUUGAUUUUAGCUCGACCAUUCGCAGAUCGGUCAUUUGAUCUCGCUGUUUGAAUCCUCGCCCAUAGGCCAUAGUCAUCCCCACGUAUCCUCGAACUGCACCUAAGCAGAAAUGGGCUUCUAUCCGAUGUGAGGAUUCAUGGGAGAUAGUUUCAGACAGUAAUGUGACUCAUUUGAAUUAGCAUAAGAUAGCAAUUGAGUCUCCAUCUAAGUUUCCACAGUAAUCGUCAAAGUGUAAUGUUCUUCGACAUAUGAAUUCCGACCCUGGUGAAAAUAAAGAGGAAGGUCCGAGCUUUUCUGAUUCAGAGGAUGAUACUCCUGGGGAUGUGCGAACCAGCUUUGAGGAUGAAAACAACCAGAGAUUGGUACCUGAUAGGAGGAACUUGUCUACCGUAAACUAUUGCAGUUCGUAAUGAAAGAGAGAAGGAAAAUUGUGAUUCAGUAGGUGAUGAAGAAAAUGUUGGUGUGUCCUGUGAUUUUAAUGCUAGCUCUAUGGACAUCUAUUGUGAGGCAGAGUUACCUUGUUUGAUUCAGAGUAGCAUUUGAGGCAAGAAGUUGAAGAGGUGAAGGUUCAACAACUUCAAAAGACUAGUCAAUUGGAGUUGAACUGAGCGUGUCAUAGAACUGGAGUUUCAGCUGAGUUUUUCCACUGCAUCUAGAAACAAGUUAUGCUAAUGCCAUGGACAUGGAGGAGUUUCUUAUUUGGUGGAUAUGUUGGCGCUGCUUGGUUGUCAGCCGUGGACUGUUAACUCAGUGACACCAAGAAUCCUUUAAGGCCGCAGCUGCUGCCCUAUGUGGUGACAUUUACAUAUUUGGUGGUGGAGAUGGUACUUCGUGGUUUAAUACAGGUUCAACUAGGAACAUGGUGGACAUAACUCUAUUAAUACAAAAAAUGGAAAUUCGGCUAGUCGUUCUUGAGUUCUCCAAGCCGAAAGUAAACCAUGAUGAUGUUCAGUGAGCUAGCAUGCGUCUUAUAUAACCCUAGCUCUUGCUUGUUUGCUGAGCAGACAACUGCUGCAGCCAUUUUAUCAUCAUCAUCCUCUAUGUAGUUGGAAUUAAUUUUCUAGUGCUGCGGCAGAGCUCUGGUGCAAUUUAUGCUGCUGGUGCAAUUUAUGUUUGCUGAGAAGACUACUUGAAGUAAGUAACCACUUUUUUGUACUAUCAAGAAUGUUUUUUACUUGGGUACUCGACAGGAUGAAUGUAAUAUACUAAUACCAGUUCA